UUUCCGUAGGUGAACCUGCGGAAGGAUCAUUAUUGGAUUUUGAAACCUCAGGCUGCUGCUGGCUCUCCUCGGAGGGCAUGUGCAUGCUUGUUGUCCAUUAUUUCUCCCACUGUGCACUAAUUGUAGACCUUUCAGUAGGCCUAUGUUGUUUUUCACAAUCUCUGAAUGUAAUAGAAUGGUUUUGAAUCUUGGGAAAUACAAUACAACUUUCAGCAACGGAUCUCUUGGCUCUC
rnacentral:misc_RNA from 1 species